rnacentral:lncRNA from 1 species
UGGGAGGGAGGCUAUCGCGAAUGAAAAUAAUCCAGAGAAGAUGGGAUCUGGGAUGCAGGGGAUGCGGAUAGAGCUUAUCCGAAACUUUGUUCCGAAGCAAGGGAAUGUGUUUGGAUGCCGUGAAGCUCGGGAGGAUGAAGCUGCGGACGUGGAGCAGGGGAGAUGAACUCUGUUUUGAGGCUGGGAUGCUUAAUCUGCAGACACGGGAUGGGUAGCUUGGGACUUCGUUAACGGCUAGGAUCAGGGGGGUGGUGUUCUCGGCUGAGAAGAGAUGCCGGAAGAAUUGGGAGCUGUG